GGGGGACGCCGAGGAGAUGGUACAGUCCAGCCACCCGGCAUCCGACCCCCCCUCCCGGCGGUUCAAGUUUCUGCGCCCGGAGGACGCGGCCUCGGCCAAUCCCUGGGCUACAGGGCGCUUUUAAAAUGCAGUCAUCUCUACUCCCAGCGUGGGACUGGAACUCACAACCGCGAGACCAAGAGUCAAAUGUUCUACUGACUGAGCCAGCCAGGUGCCCCCUGAGUUGAAUCUUGAAGAGCGAGUAGGAGUUUGUCAGAUUUUGGAGGGGGGGAGGAGGGCGUUGGGAUAGUCAAAAUGGAGGGAACCACACAAGCCAAAACCCCAAAGGACAUUUGUUUCUUGUGUUUUGCGAUAACCAGCAAUGCCGCCAGAGACGUUCUGGUGCAGUCCUGAUGUGCGAGUUUGAACUUGGGUUUGGGUCUAGACCAAGACACAGAGGGGCUGGGUCAUACAGUACAUGGCUUCAGUUCGACCGGAGGAGGCCAGACUGCUUCCCGAAGAGGCGGUGCCAACUCACAGUCCAGCCAGCAGGGUGUAGGAUGCUGUCACUCCAGUGCAUGCUCGAAACUUCGCUCUCUUUCCACACCUGCUCUGCCUCCCUCAGGCUGUCAGAGCACAAGAGAAGCCCAGGCCAAAUUGCAUACUCUAGGUGCCCACUAUAUGAGGACAAAACAAAACCAAACAGAAGAAGAAAGAGUAUAACAGGUUUAAACACGGAUAACUUAUCUGAAAUGUUUAUAUUUAUCAAAUCGAUGCUCUCACACAUACUGCGCAGGUUCAAUGCAACACUGCGGAAUAGUCAGAGGCUUUGCAGCAGGUGACAAGUCUCCGGUCCCAGACACUGGGUCUCUGAGCCCGGCUGUGUCUCCCAGUGACUAUCACCAUCGCUCUGGGAAGGGCGAAGCCCAGGCCGGCAGUCUCAUCUGUGACGGGUGGUGUCUGUCUGCCUCCCCCACGGUAUGCUCCUUGAGGACAAACCCAGCUCUUGUCUGAGACCCUCAGGCCAUGGCCCCAGUGGUGUUGCCUGGAUGUCUGCAGGAGUGCCGUCUGUGUCAGAGACACACCUGCCCAGCCCCCUCAUCCUCCCAAGUGCCCCUGGACAUGGGGUGCUGCUUUCACCCCGGGUCUACAAGAAGCCGUGCCCCAGGCUGCAAAGAUCAGGGACCAGUCUCUUCCGGUGCCUAAAUAUGUCAUGUGCUGAGUGUGGAAUAAAAGUCGACAAAGACUUUAAUUGUUAAUGUGGCUCUGCCGCUGCAGGCCGGGCCUCCCAGCCCCUUCCAGCUUGCUCCCCUCCAACCCACCUCUGAUACAAUCCCAGCAAUAACAGUAAUUCCCCCACCCCCACCUCCAGUUGAGCCCACCGUGGGCAGAGAGAAGAUGGGACAUGAGUCACUCUAACAGCUAUGCCAUCCGGCCACCACUGUGAUCACCGCUCUUCUCAGGACCCUCUCAGCACAGAGCCUGGGGACUCAGGGAGUGUUUGUCAAAUGAGUGAAUGAUGACGGGGGAAGUUGGGUUCAGUAGAAAAGCCCAGACUCAGAGUCCAGUCUCUGGUCUGAUACUGGCUGGCAGGUGGCUGUGGGCAAGUCACACCCCUCUCUCCACCUCUGGAUCUCACCUGGAGAUGGAAUCAUCUCAAAUGCACAAGAAAAGGCCGGCUGGAACCCUAAGCCACACGGUGGGGCAGAUGGGACACUGCUUUGCUGGGGAAAUUGCUGACAAGCCUGGGAGUACCCCAGGGUCCACAUGGAAUGAUCAUCCUGAGACUCUGAAAAUCUAACAGAAGAGCGGCCCCUCUGUCAAGAGGAGCCUCGGCCUGGCAAAGACCCAGCACCAGGACACAGCUUUGCAACGAAGAACUGCCGUCUUACCAUCCUGCCCGUCCAGAGCCCCUGCAAACAAGUCAGGGUCCUAACGAGGCAGCUGGUCAGGCUCUAUCCACAAGGCCAGCGGGUCAGCCCCGUGGUCUUGGCCCUGAGUACCUGUUAAUCACACAAAAGCUGGCAAAAUGCAGAUGCUCAGACCCCACCUCACACCAACUCAAUCAGAAUAUCUGGAGAAGGUAAGCCUGGCGGGCAGGGCUGUGAAGCACCGGGUUAGAUCAAGGUGUUGUUCACUGGCAUCAGGCCGCACCAGAAGGAGACAUCCCCAUUUCUUGGGAGGGGCACACCCCUCCCCAAGUGUCUGGAUUUAGAGAUAGUUCUCUAAGAUUAUCCACAUUCCCCACAUAAUCCUCCAAUGUGCUUCCUAGGGUAGGGAAGGGGGCUAGGAACUCUGGAGUCUCUGUAGUGUUCUCUUAACACCCCUACUUUUUGAACCAUAUGUAAUGGGAGAGAAUGGAGGGAAGGAAAGUAUUAAAGCUAUAAUACCAAGCAAUUAUCUGGGACUGCUGGACACAAAAGACCAGCAUAGAAUGGGGGGGGGGUGGAGACCAUACUGGGCAAUUCUUGUAAAAUUUCGGAACACCAAGAUUGAGGAGAUCCUAAAAGCAUCCAGAAAGAGAGACAGAGAGCGGAGACCACAUACAAGAGAUCAUGAAUCAUAAUAACAUUGACAUUCUCAAGGCAACUCCAGGAGCUAGAAGACCAUGGAGCAAUGCCUUCAGUGUCCGGAAGGAAAAAACUUCAGUACCUAAGCCAUCAAGUGUGGGGGUAGGGUAAGACAUUUUCAGAUUAAAAAAGAAAAGAAAAGGGGUGCCUGGUGACUCAGUCAGUCAGGCGGCUGCCUUCAGCUCAGGUCAUGAUCCCGGGGUCCUGGCAUCAAGCCCCCUGUCGGGCUCC